AGUGAACGCUGGCGGUAGGCCUAACACAUGCAAGUCGAACGGCAGCACAGGAGAGCUUGCUCUCUGGGUGGCGAGUGGCGGACGGGUGAGGAAUACAUCGGAAUCUACUCUGUCGUGGGGGAUAACGUAGGGAAACUUACGCAAAUACCGCAUACGACCUACGGGUGAAAGCAGGGGAUCUUCGGACCUUGCGCGAUUGAAUGAGCCGAUGUCGGAUUAGCUAGUUGGCGGGGUAAAGGCCCACCAAGGCGAAGAUCCGUAGCUGGUCUGAGAGGAUGAGCAGCCACACUGGAACUGAGACACGGUCCAGACUCCUACGGGAGGCAGCAGUGGGGAAUAUUGGACAAUGGGCGCAAGCCUGAUCCAGCCAUACCGCGUGGGUGAAGAAGGCCUUCGGGUUGUAAAGCCCUUUUGUUGGGAAAGAAAUCCAUCUGGUUAAUACCCGGGUGGGAUGACGGUACCCAAAGAAUAAGCACCGGCUAACUUCGUGCCAGCCGCCGCGGUAA
rnacentral:rRNA from 1 species